rnacentral:rRNA from 1 species
AUUGAACGCUGGCGGCAGGCCUAACACAUGCAAGUCGAACGAGUGGCGGACGGGUGAGUAAUGUCUGGGAAACUGCCUGAUGGAGGGGGAUAACUACUGGAAACGGUAGCCAAUACCGCAUACCAUUGGAUUUGCCCAUAGGGGAUUGGCUAGUUGGUGGGGUAAAGGCUCACCUAGGCAACGAUCCCUAGCUGGUUUGAGAGGCUGACCAGCCACACUGGAACUGAGACACGGUCCAGACUCCUACGGGAGGCAGCAGUGGGGAAUAUUGCGCAAUGGGCGAAAGCCUGAUGCAGCAAUGCCGCGUGUAUGAUGAAGGCCUUCGGGUUGUAAAGUACUUUCAGCGGGGAGGCGUUACCCACACAGGAAGCACCGGCUAACUCCGUGCCAGCAGCCGCGGUAAUUC